AAAUUAGCUGGGCGUGGUGAUGCGCGCCUAUAAUCCCAGCUACUUGAGAGGCUGAGGCAGGAGAAUCGCUUGAACCAGGGAAGCGGAGGUUGCAGUGAGCCAAGAUCAUGCCACUGCACUCCAGCCUGGACAACAGAGAGAGACUCUGUCUCAAAACAACAACAACAACAACAACAACAACAACCAACACCCCUGAUAAAUAAAAUUGGCUGCAGUUUUAAUCUGAUGUCCUAGGAAUAGAAACAAAUUCCAAGGAGAGGACUAUUCUUGUUUAGAAAAACAGCUCGAGGGGCUCCCUGGAUGUGGUCUGGAAGGACAGAAGCAAGCAAGGACGUUGGGGAGGCAGCUCUACUAAGAACUCUGGCUGGAUCCAGGCAGGGAGUUGUUCGGAACAAUUUAGCCCAGGAAGGAAAUAUUGGAGCCACUGAAGCAGUCGAUAGCUCAAGAUGGAGAGAGAGACUGGCAGGAAGCAACAAGAAAGAAAAUGCGUUGGAAACUGAGAAUGGCUAUGGCAAAAAGCAGCAAAGACCCUUGACUUCUAGUCCUUGAGGCAGGGGGCCAAAGCCAACACGGACCUACCAGGAGUGGCCUGAGAAUCCAGAACACAG
rnacentral:lncRNA from 10 species